rnacentral:tRNA from 1 species
GCCGGCGUGGUGAAAUUGGUAGACACGACAGACUCAAAAUCUGUUGUUCGCAAGAACGUGUCGGUUCGAGUCCGACCGCCGGUA